UACGAAGGGGGCUAGCGUUGCUCGGAAUUACUGGGCGUAAAGGGCGCGUAGGCGGAUAGUUUAGUCAGAGGUGAAAGCCCAGGGCUCAACCCUGGAAUUGCCUUUGAUACUGGCUAUCUUGAGUUCGGGAGAGGUGAGUGGAACUCCGAGUGUAGAGGUGAAAUUCGUAGAUAUUCGGAAGAACACCAGUGGCGAAGGCGACUCACUGGACACAUAUUGACGCUGAGGUGCGAAAGGCGUGGGGAGCAAACAGGG
rnacentral:rRNA from 1 species